GGAGGGGUGGCCGAGUGGUUUAUGGCGGUGGUCUUGAAAACCACUGAGCGCAAGCUCCGUGGGUUCGAAUCCCACCCCCUCCGCCU
rnacentral:tRNA from 1 species